rnacentral:rRNA from 1 species
AACGAACGCUGGCGGCAUGCCUAACGCAUGCAAGUCGAACGAGACCUUCGGGUCUAGUGGCGCACGGGUGCGUAACGCGUGGGAACCUGCCCUUAGGUUCGGAAUAACUCCCCGAAAGGGGUGCUAAUACCGGAUAAUGUCUUCGGACCAAAGAUUUAUCGCCUUUGGAUGGGCCCGCGUUGGAUUAGCUAGUUGGUAGGGUAAAAGCCUACCAAGGCGACGAUCCAUAGCUGGUCUGAGAGGAUGAUCAGCCACACUGGGACUGAGACACGGCCCAGACUCCUACGGGAGGCAGCAGUGGGGAAUAUUGGACAAUGGGCGAAAGCCUGAUCCAGCAAUGCCGCGUGAGUGAUGAAGGCCUUAGGGUUGUAAAGCUCUUUUACCCGGGAUGAUAAUGACAGUACCGGGAGAAUAAGCUCCGGCUCACUCCGUGC